GACGAACGCUGGCGGCGUGCUUAACACAUGCAAGUCGAACGGAAAGGCCCUGCUUUUGUGGGGUGCUCGAGUGGCGAACGGGUGAGUAACACGUGAGUAACCUGCCCUUGACUUUGGGAUAACUUCAGGAAACUGGGGCUAAUACCGGAUAGGAGCUCCUGCUGCAUGGUGGGGGUUGGAAAGUUUCGGCGGUUGGGGAUGGACUCGCGGCUUAUCAGCUUGUUGGUGGGGUAGUGGCUUACCAAGGCUUGGACGGGUAGCAUGCCUGGGAGGGUGACCGGCCACAUUGGGACUGAGAUGCGGCCCAGACUCCUACGGGAGGCAGCAGUGGGGAAUAUUGCACAAUGGGCGGAAGCCUGAUGCAGCAACGCCGCGUGCGGUAUGACGGCCUGCGGGUUGUAAACCGCUUUCGCCUGUGACGAAGCGUGAGUGACGGUAAUGGGUAAAGAAGCACCGGCUAACUACGUG
rnacentral:rRNA from 1 species